rnacentral:rRNA from 1 species
GACGAACGCUGGCGGCGUGCUUAACACAUGCAAGUCGAACGCUGAAGCUCAGCUUUUGUUGGGUGGAUGAGUGGCGAACGGGUGAGUAACACGUGAGUAACCUGCCCCCUUCUUUGGGAUAACGCCCGGAAACGGGUGCUAAUACUGGAUAUUCACUGGUCUUCGCAUGGGGGUUGGUGGAAAGGGUUUUUCUGGUGGGGGAUGGGCUCGCGGCCUAUCAGCUUGUUGGUGGGGUGAUGGCCUACCAAGGCUUUGACGGGUAGCCGGCCUGAGAGGGUGACCGGUCACAUUGGGACUGGGAUACGGCCCAGACUCCUACGGGAGGCAGCAGUGGGGAAUAUUGCACAAUGGGCGCAAGCCUGAUGCAGCGACGCCGCGUGAGGGAUGGAGGCCUUCGGGUUGUGAACCUCUUUCGCUCAUGGUCAAGCCGCAACAAUGGUUGUGGUGAGGGUAGUGGGUAAAGAAGCGCCGGCUAACUACGUG